CCUACUUCCGGUAGAGCACGUGAUUGCCACGUGCCCGCGCGUGCCAGUAAUUUUACUGACCUCAAGGGCACACAACACACAGUUGUGAACAUUGUUUGAGUCCACAUUAGUUUGAGUUCUUUAGAAGACUCACUGAAGCAGCAACAACAAGCUUUAUUUCUUGCCUUUGAAUUGGGAUUCAUGUGGAUUUAGUGUAAUUCAUGCAGUAGAAKUUGAAAUGUAUGGAUAAUUCGCAUGUAAAGGAAAUAAAUUCGUCAACUCAGUGAAAUAUGGUCUGAAAUUGCCCAUCACCUAGUUUAUGGAAACUACAGUUGUUUUUGGUGCAAGUGCACCACUAAAUGCUCAUGGAAAUGACUCAACAUUAGUAAUUGACAAUGAAGAAAAGCUGGUGACAAAUAAAAAAACAAGAAAGAAAGAGGAGGCGGAGGAUCAGGAGAAGGCAAAAUGAAGAAGAAAGGGAGAAAAUGUGAGCUCAAUGUAUUAAAGACUUUAACUAAAGAUUGACCCCAGCAAGCAAGUAUUUUUGGCAAGAAGUAUAGAUAUAUGUAAAUAAGUAAAUAAUAAUAUGUAAAUAUGCAAAAAAUGCAGACAAUAUAUCCAUGAAACAGUUCUAUAUAGUUAGCACUAAAUAGCAGUAUAAAAACACUAGUAGAGUGCAUUCAGUAAACCCGUGAAAUACGCGUAGUUAUUUAGCCGUACAUGCCUGUAACUAAUGCUACUUACGGUUACGCGUAUAUUUCACGGGUUUACUGACUGCACUCUGGAAAACACUGAAUAUUGUUUGCACUAUCCUUUCACUUCGAUUAAAACUUGCUUUUUACAUGUGGUUAAAUAAAAUAUUUAAGCAAAGUUA